rnacentral:antisense_RNA from 1 species
AGAAACACUGCACUGACUUCUUCUGAUGACCGCUGUUCGGGCAACGCAUCCACCUCUCAUACACAU